UUUAAGUCCGCCCACAGGGAGUCGCUGUGGAUUCACACAAAAACACGUCCUCCAUCUUGGCUCAGACCUGUUGUCGGUGCACCUGAGUCCACCUGCCCGCCCCGCACUCACCCAGUGCUUCCUCUCACUUCAGAGACUAAUUGUGUGGGGAGGUAAACACAGCAGUCAAGUGGAGAGGACGGCGAGUCAAGCGUGAAUAUCAAUCUCCCCACAUCAGUGUCAUCAGAUGACUUUGACUAAGUUACGAUGGGCUCAUUAGAGUGGCGGAGCAGGGUGUCGGGUGGUAACAGCAUCCUGGUGGAGGUAUGGAAGCCUGCAGAGCUCACCAGCUAACAGGCAAUGUGGACAGCAACUAUUACUCACUGUUGCCGGUGCUGCAACUCUGUGCUCAGCUCUCCAGACUCUCCUGCCUGAACCUGCUGUCACAAAUCAUUUCAGGAAUCUGAUGAACUGUACCAACCUCAGAUUAACCUCCAACCCUGUCAUUCUCUUCCUGUAAACCCAGACCAUCACUGUAGAGACUAGAGGACCAAUCGCGCAUGAACAGAGAGAGCUACACUUCUACCCGUUCUCCCACACUAUAAAUGGUUUCCAGAAGAUCAGGCGUGAAGAGGAAGAAAGACAUCAGAUAACAAGGCGGCGGCGUAUGGAGGCGCGACGCAUGGCGUCACAUGGCCCCCGCGGCAACCGCCCGGGAACAAAGUGACGGGCUGUGGUGGAGCGCCGGGACAGAAUCAAGAGUUAAGAGCAUGGGGAGAGGUCAGAAGAAGACAGAUGUGAGAACAGGCUCCAUGACAAGAACCCCCAUCACAGCCCACUGAUGUCAGCGCUGCCUACCGUGUGUGAUUCAGGUCACUUCACACUGUAGGAGUGUGCUCUUGUACCUGAAGGCCAGCCCAGUUCUGUGGCCCCCGGGGUAUGAGCCCAGUUCUGACAGAAUUCAUCUCCGCUUCCUCGUCCCCCCUCCGUCCGUCUGCGCCCUUAGCCCCCGCCAGAGACUUCACCGUCACCCAGGCUCCACAGCCGGCUCUGCACCAGCCUUCCUGUCCUUUCCUAUAUUCCCCCCCCCCCAUCUCUUCUUCUCCCGCCCUUUCUCCAUCUGGCUCUUUCAAGUCUU